rnacentral:lncRNA from 1 species
UGGCUCAAUUAAUUACUGAUAUUACUGAGAAACCAUUUUCCAAUUCUCUGUAUUCUGGGUAUACAGUAAUUCCAGAUUUUGAAGCAGCUGAUUCAGAGCAAUCGAUAGAAAUGGUUCAACCUAAUAUGUCAGUUCAAUCUCGAGAGAUCUGGUUCGUUUUUUCGGGGAUGGGAUCACAAUGGAUCGGAAUGGGUGAAUCACUAAUGAAAAUACCAAUCUUUGCCGAAGCAA